GACGAACGCUGGCGGCGUGCUUAACACAUGCAAGUCGAACGGAAAGGCCCUGCUUUUGUGGGGUGCUCGAGUGGCGAACGGGUGUGUAACACGUGAGUAACCUGCUCUUGACUUUGGGAUAACUUCAGGAAACUGGGGCUAAUACCGGAUAGGAGCUCCUGCUGCAUGGUGGGGGUUGGAAAGUUUCGGCGGUUGGGGAUGGACUCGCGGCUUAUCAGCUUGUUGGUGGGGUAGUGGCUUACCAAGGCCUUGACGGGUAGCCGGCCUGAGAGGGUGACCGGCCACAUUGGGACUGAGAUACGGCCCAGACUCCUACGGGAGGCAGCAGUGGGGAAUAUUGCACAAUGGGCGGAAGCCUGAUGCAGCAACGCCGCGUGCGGGAUGACGGCCUUCGGGUUGUAAACCGCUUUCGCCAGUGACGAAGCGUGAGUGACGGUAAUGGGUGAAGAAGCACCGGCUAACUACGUG
rnacentral:rRNA from 1 species